UUUUGCAACGCGAAGAACCUUACCUACUCUUGACAUCCAGAGAACUUAGCAGAGAUGCUUUGGUGCCUUCGGGAACUCUGAGACAGGUGCUGCAUGGCUGUCGUCAGCUCGUGUUGUGAAAUGUUGGGUUAAGUCCCGCAACGAGCGCAACCCUUAUCCUUUGUUGCCAGCGGUUCGGCCGGGAACUCAAAGGAGACUGCCAGUGAUAAACUGGAGGAAGGUGGGGAUGACGUCAAGUCAUCAUGGCCCUUACGAGUAGGGCUACACACGUGCUACAAUGGCAUAUACAAAGAGAAGCGACCUCGCGAGAGCAAGCGGACCUCAUAAAGUAUGUCGUAGUCCGGAUUGGAGUCUGCAACUCGACUCCAUGAAGUCGGAAUCGCUAGUAAUCGUGGAUCAGAAUGCCACGGUGAAUACGUUCCCGGGCCUUGUACACACCGCCCGUCACACCAUGGGAGUGGGUUGCAAAAGAAGUAGGUAGCUUAACCUUCGGGAGGGCGCUUACCACUUUGUGAUUCAUGACUGGGGUGAAGUCGUAAA
rnacentral:rRNA from 1 species